ACCCUGCUCUGUGUCUAGAAGAGAGCUGAACACGCAGUAGAACACAAUAAAUUAUAUUCAAAUGGCAGUCAAGGAGGAAACUUUUCUUCCUCAUCAACAAAGCUGAUCGAUGGGGGCUGAAGCCCCAGGGAAGAAGCAUCUGUUGUAACUCAAGGAUCCCGGCUUGAGCUGAGGAUGGAAUUAACAGGCACAGAGUGGUUGGCAGCCCAACGUUUGUGCAAGUCUGGCACAUGCACACAUCAUUAGCAACUAUGCUGGAGAAGAAUGAUCAAGGAGGUGAGGAGGGGAAUGGAUCUGAUUAAAGGGAUGUUCAAGAAAGGAAAUUCCAAGCACUUGGGUAAAAGCUUCAUAGCUAAAAUGAAUGAACUCGUGAGCAAAGCAAACAGCCAGGUACAUUUGGGAGAUGCUGACAGACAAUCUGGAUAAUUUUGCCUCUGAAACUUUCAAAACAAAGUCAUUUCAUGCAGUGAA
rnacentral:lncRNA from 1 species